UUUAAUUGGCUACUUUAGAUGAAUUGUAUGCUCAGAAACUCAAGUACAAAGCCAUCAGCGAGGAGCUGGACCACGCUCUCAACGACAUGACCUCCAUUUAAAUUUUUUGCAUCUCAUCUCUGGCUCUGGGCACCAUCUGAGCGGCAACUCCUUCAUUUCCUCCGUGUUGUCUCUGUUGCCGCUUUUCUCCAUCGCACUAUUCUCAGUGGGGAUGGAGCUCUCAGUUCUAUAGUCCCAUCACUUGUACAGAAAUUUUUUGCUUUCUGUAAAAUAAAACUUCCUCCCAUCUCUGUAAGCUC